rnacentral:misc_RNA from 1 species
UCUUCUUCUUCUUCUUCUUCAUGCUUCUAUCUCUCCUUCAGUCUUCGAUGGUGUUGACCUGUUAGGUGUCCGUUCUUUAUUUCUUAGACUUCAUUUUUAUUUGAAUCUUCCUGCUUAAGGACCUGCUUCUUUUACUUGUUCCAUAUAAAUACCAAAACCUUAAGCUCAGGACAGCAACAUGCAAACCCCUCUCUCUCUCUCUCUCU